GGUUGCAUCCUAGUAGAUUGGGAAACUCAUCAAAUCUUAUGAAAUACCGAGAACAAAGCUUUCUCUUCUAAUGGCGGGCCACGCCGAGAGGUAUGCAUUAUGCACGGUGGAUUACAAAGGAAGGGGGCACUCAAAUCCUGUUAUUCGGAGUUUCAUCGCAUCCUAUGAUGCAACCUUUCUU
rnacentral:sRNA from 1 species